rfam:Otolemur garnettii contig131366, whole genome shotgun sequence.
GCUCCUGUGGGGCAAUUGGUUAGCGCAUGGCAUUGAUAUCAUAACAUUGUUGCCAAAGUUGUGAGUUCAAGUCUCACCUGGAGCA